rnacentral:rRNA from 1 species
AUGGAUCACACGAUGUUCCAGCAAGCCAUGCGCGUCCUGGUCGGCAACGGCAAGCAGGCAAGCCUCUACAACCACUCCAGGCGCAAAAACCCCACGGUGGCCGCGGCGCCCACCAACGACCAGUGGAUCAGGGACCUGCACCACAACAACACAACACUCAUCGCCGCCGAGUACCUGCGACUUUGGCGCCAACUACAGCAAGCCGGAGAUGGCCUACCGCAUGCAUUUUCAGACCAGGUCGAAAACAAGCGACGACAGGUGAUCUGGAGAAGCUGGGUGCCGGGAAUGGCCAAAAUAUUCUCAUGGCUCCUGCAGAAGAACAUGAUCUGGUGCAACGAUCGGCCGCAAAGGCGAGGAUGGCCAAACAGAUACUUCUGCAGCUUCUGUCUUCGAAACCUGGAUUCUGCGGUGCAACUCUUCUGGGAGUGCCCGUUCUCCCGCCAUGUUUGGACGAAUCUCUCGUCCAAAGCUGGCUGCGAGGCAAUGGCCACCGCUAAAUCGCCGCUGCACACUUCCAUCCAGCACUGCGAGGAGAUGAUUCGUUGCACGCCAGCUGGAGCAAGGAAGGGCUUCAGAACCAUGUUGAUUUUGGUCUCCUGGCACCUAUGGAAGGAGAUAAAUGCCUACGUCUUCAGGGGAAAACUGUCAUGCCUGGACGAUAUUCACCACGCCAUCGAGCUGGACUACGCCCAGUCGAGAGCUGCCGGUGCGGCAUGCCUAGAGCCCCCGUUCGGGGUCAUUCCUCCGGUGCGCCGGCCGAAACACUCGGCCGGUUGCACGGGCAAUCCCUAUUUGGCGCUGCAGGCGCCGGUUAUUACUGUUUCUGCAAACCGGCAAACCGGCGCCUGCAACACACCCACCUCUGCCGUGACUGGGCCGGGCCAUUUGCGGGGCUCCUCCGGUUUUUGGAAGUUUCUAGAAGCUUCCCUAACUGUUUUUUUCGGUUCGCUGGUCAUUUUAUGCUUGCGCUCCUCCGCCAUGGCCCUCGUUAGUCCAGCUCCGCCCACCCUAGAGGCCCUCACCAAAGCUGCUCCUCCCAAGGCACACACACCCUUCUGCAUCCCUGCUCCAUUCGUUGCCGCUGCUGGGCAGGAAACGGCUGCGUGCAGCCAUGGUCGCUACAAACGACGAGCUCGGGCGACACUGGCGAUGAAGGAGCUGCAGCCCGUGGCAGAAUCUGCUACAACCAAAUACGGCAAGGGCAUGACCCGCGAUGGCGGCGACAUGGUUUUUGCUGCAAUCGUCAUCAAUUUUUUGCUACCACCGAUGUUUGCAAUUGCUGCCACCAGCGAUGGCAUUUGCUACAUCCUUCACGAUGAUGCUGCAACCCCGACGGCGGUGAUGACAUUUGUCUGCUGCAGCCGGCUAUGGCAAAAGCUAUCACCGGAGCUUUUCUUUUGCUACAAGCAUGCGUGA